GUGGCGUGGGGGUUGUGAAGAAGCUUGGACGUGAGUCUGAGUGAAACAGCUUCCAGUGCAGAUCUUGGUGGUAGUAGCAAGUAUUCAAUAAGAGAACAUUGAAGGCCGAAGUGGGGAAGGGUUCCAUGUGAACAGCACUUGGACAUGGGUUAGCCGAUCCUGAGAGACAGGUUAAAUUCCAUUGGAUUGGAGCUUUGGCUCUGUUUCUCGAAAGGGAAGCUGGUUAGUAUUCCAGCGCCGAGACGUGGAUAAUAUGUGGCAACACAAGUGAACUCGGACACGCCAUAGGGGACCCCAGGAAGCGUUGUCUUUUCUUUUUAACAGUUUGACUUACCCUGGAAUCAGAUCAUCUGGAGAUAGGGUUUUCAAACUGGAAUAGCACCUUGUCUAACAGGGUGUCUGGAGUGUUCUCGCUGGCCCUUGAAAAUCCGAGGGAAUUU
rnacentral:rRNA from 13 species